UACGUAGGCAGCGAGCGUUGUUCGGAGUUACUGGGCGUAAAGAGUGCGUAGGCGGUUUUCUAAGUUUGGUGUGAAAUCUCCCGGCUUAACUGGGAGGGUGCGCCGAAGACUGGAAGGCUUGAGUAUGGGAGAGGUAAGCGGAAUUCCUGGUGUAGCGGUGAAAUGCGUAGAUAUCAGGAGGAACACCUGCGGUGUAGACGGCUUACUGGACCAUAACUGACGCUGAGGCACGAAAGCGUGGGUGGCAAACAGG
rnacentral:rRNA from 1 species